rnacentral:rRNA from 1 species
UAUCCGGAAUUAUUGGGCGUAAAGGGCUCGUAGGCGGUUCGUCGCGUCCGGUGUGAAAGUCCAUCGCUUAACGGUGGAUCCGCGCCGGGUACGGGCGGGCUUGAGUGCGGUAGGGGAGACUGGAAUUCCCGGUGUAACGGUGGAAUGUGUAGAUAUCGGGAAGAACACCAAUGGCGAAGGCAGGUCUCUGGGCCGUCACUGACGCUGAGGAGCGAAAGCGUGGGGAGCGAACAGGAUUAGAUACCCUGGUAGUCCACGCCGUAAACGGUGGAUGCUGGAUGUGGGGACCAUUCCACGGUCUCCGUGUCGGAGCCAACGCGUUAAGCAUCCCGCCUGGGGAGUACGGCCGCAAGGCUAAAACUCGAAGAAAUUGACGGGGGCCCGCACAAGCGGCGGAUCAUGCGGAUUAGUUCGAUGCACCGCGAAGAACCUUACCUGGGCUUGACAUGUUCGCGACUGCCCCAGA